rnacentral:rRNA from 1 species
AUUGAACGCUAGCGGGAUGCCUUACACAUGCAAGUCGAACGAGUGGCGGACGUGUGGGCAAUAUAUCGGCACGUGCCCAGUAGCGGGGGAUAACUACUCGAACGAGUGGCUAAUACCGCAUACUAUUGCAGCGGCCGAUAUCGGAGUAGCUAGUUGGGGGGGUAAAGGAUCACCAAGGCAACGAUCCGUAGCUGGUUUGAGAGGACGACCAGCCACACUGGGACUGAGACACGGCCCAGACUCCGACGGGAGGCAGAAGUGGGGAAUUGUGGACAAUGGGGGAAACCCUGAUCCAGCCAUCCCGCGGGUAUGAGAAGGCCUUCGGGUUGUAAAGUACUUUUGGCAGGGAGGCGUUAUCUGCAGAAUAAGCACCGGCUAACUCCGUGCAAGCAGCCGCGGUAAUAC